rnacentral:piRNA from 1 species
UGUAGUGAUGGCGCUAAGGGGAU